GGACUCUUAGCUCAGUUGGUUAGAGCGCUACGUUGACAUCGUAGAGGUCACAGGUUCGAAUCCCGUAGAGUCCA
rnacentral:tRNA from 7 species